UGACGUAGAAAUUGAGGGAAAAUUGAUAGAUUUCAAAUUCCCAUAGAUCUAUAUAUCAAGUCUAGAUGAUUCUGUUGAUUCUCUUGCAAUUGAAAUUAGUAAACAGAUUCUAAUAUUUAAAUUUUAAAUGAAUCUGGUAGAUUCCAGGAAAUUUGGAGGAGAGAGAUUCGUGAAAAUUUCCAAAAAAUGAAAGCUGAAGGUUCCAACUUACUCCAGCUAGAAGAAGAGCUUAUAAAAAGAAGAAAAGAAGAAUUAAGACAUGCACAGGAUGUCAGAGAGCAUUAUGAAAGCAAGUUGGAGCAUGCUAACAAUUUGUAUAUGGAAUUAACAGCUUGUAUGCUGCAACUGGAAAAGAGAGAACGGGAGCUCAUCAAGUAAGGACAUGUUCUUUGGUGUUAAUGUUAGUCAUGCUUUACAAUGUUUUAGGGGUGCUUUUCUCAACCUGUGGGCCAUAUCACAAAAGGACCCGCUGACAAGGACUUGACUUAUUCCUGUGCACUCCCAGGGUAGCAUAGGGCCACAAUCACCACCAAACUCUCCACUAAACUCGGUUCUGAGCAGCUUCCUUCGCCUGUCAUUCAAGUACCCUCAGCUUCACUGAUGACUGACCUCUUCCAGGUUUGCGUGGGUCUGCCCACUUUCCUCUUUCCUUGCGGAUUCCAAUCAAGUUCGUACCUUGCAACAUUGGUAGCUGGUUUUCGCAGGGUGUGUCCUAUCCAGCUCCACUUUGGCUUUGUGAUGUCUUGGGCUAUGGGCUUUUGUCUAAUUCUCUCCCACCAAUU